rnacentral:rRNA from 1 species
UACGUAGGCAGCAAGCGUUGUUCGGAGUUACUGGGCGUAAAGCGUGCGUAGGCGGUUUUGUAAGUUUGGUGUGAAAUCUCCCGGCUCAACUGGGAGGGUGCGCCGAAAACUGCAAGGCUGGAGUAUGGGAGAGGUAGGUAGAAUUCCAGGUGUAGCGGUGAAAUGCGUAGAGAUCUGGAGGAAUACCGAUGGCGAAGGCAGCCUUCUGGCCUAAUACUGACGCUGAGGUGCGAAAGCAUGGGGAGCAAACAGG